rnacentral:rRNA from 1 species
UACGUAGGGCGCAAGCGUUGUCCGGAAUUAUUGGGCGUAAAGAGCUCGUAGGCGGCCUGUCACGUCGGGUGUGAAAGCUCGGGGCUCAACCCCGGGUCUGCAUUCGAUACGGGCAGGCUGGAGUGUGGUAGGGGAGAUCGGAAUUCCUGGUGUAGCGGUGAAAUGCGCAGAUAUCAGGAGGAACACCGGUGGCGAAGGCGGAUCUCUGGGCCAUUACUGACGCUGAGGAGCGAAAGCGUGGGGAGCGAACA